UAGGGAAUCUUGCCACAAUGGACGCAAGUCUGAUGGAGCAACGCCGCGUGAGUGAAGAAGGUUUUCGGACCGUAAAGCUCUGUUGUUGGUGAAGAAGGAUAGAGGUAGUAACUGGCCUUUAUUUGACGGUAAUCAACCAGAAAGUCACGGCUAACUACGUGCCAGCAGCCGCGGUAAUCGUAGGUGGCAAGCGUUGUCCGGAUUUAUUGGGCGUAAAGCGAGCGCAGGCGGAAGAAUAAGUCUGAUGUGAAAGCCCUCGGCUUAACCGAGGAAUUGCAUCGGAAACUGUUUUCUUGAGUGCAGAAGAGGAGAGUAGAACUCCAUGUGUAGCGGUGGAAUGCGUAGAUAUAUGGAAGAAUACCAGUGGCGAAGGCGGCUCUCUGGUCUGCAACUGACGCUGAGGCUCGAAAGCAUGGGUAGCGAACAGGAUUAGAUACCCUGGUAGUCCAUGCCGUAAACGAUGAGUGCUAAGUGUUGGGAGGCUUCCGCCUCUCAGUGCUGCAGCUAACGCAUUAAGCACUCCGCCUGGGGGAGUACGACCG
rnacentral:rRNA from 1 species